CUGCCUAUCUACAUCCCUUGAAUCUGCUCUGCCCACAUUUCUGUUAUUCUUUCCCCAAGUUUCAUAUAACAUACAAAGGGAUCACUCCCUAUGUCCCUUAGCAGAAAAAAAGUGGAUUUGAAAACUGACUCUGGUAUGUACUGCUGUGUACAAGUCAAAUUGCUUAUUUUGAGAGAGAAUACGAUUUCCUGCAGACACUAAUGGUAAAUAUUGUAAACUAAGGAUGUAACCAGGUUUUAAUCCUUUAAAUUUAUUCUCAGAUAAUGGAAAUUGAACAAAUAGCAAAUAAUCAUGUAGUUUGAUUGCUGCUUAUCUGUAACUUAUGGUUAUUCAAUUUCAUAUUUUACACUGCAGUGCAGACAACAUCAAACCUUUCUUGAAAAGCAGCUUCAGCUCAGAUCUGAUCUCAGACAUCAAAAGCCUUGACUCCAAAAUGGUGUGAAUUGGCUGCCAUCUGCUGGACUGGGACACAUAAAGUGAACCAGGAACUCACCUUGACCCAAGACAGGGCCAAGGGAAGGAGGACAGAGAAGAUGUCACAGGUGGGAAGAAUUCAGCAGUGCGAGUUCUUUCCCCUAGGACUGAGCUUCUCAGACUACAGGUAAUCUUCAGUGCUGAAAUUAUGUUUAUUUAGGGAAAUGUAAGAAGAGUUUGGAGCAAGCAGGGACCAGAUCAUGAAAGGUAUCAUUAUUAAAUGCCAUGGUAUUUUGACUGUGUGAGGGGUUUGGAGAGUGAGGAGGCAUUGCAGGGUCUUACCUAGGGAGGUGGAAUGGUCACUUUAGAGACCCUAUUCUGGAAGCAUCUACAUGUGCAUCAAGGUCUCCCAAGGAUAUUAAAAAAUGCAGCAGAUGAUCCAGUGGAACUGAGAUCCUGCGUUUGACAAAGUUCCAGGUGGGGCUAGGAUGGUGGUUCUUGAGGGGUGAUUUCUGCAUCACAAAGUCAGCAUCACCUGGAAAUUUUUAGGAGCUGCAGAUUAUCACCUGACACCAGACCAAACUGAACAGGGAAGCUGGGACCUGGGAUCCUGCAAUUGCCUUUAAAAAAAAUUAAUAGCAGGUUGUGACAGUUAAUCGUAUGUGUCAACUUGACUUGGGUAGAUGGUUAAACACUAUUUCUAGGUGUGUCUGUGAGGGUGUUUCCUACUAAGUUAGCAUUUGAAUUGGUAGACUGAGUGAAGAAGUUUCACCCUAACCCAUGUGGGAGGCAGCAUGCAGUUUGUUGAGGACACAGAUAGAACCAAAAGCAGAGGAAGGGCAAAUUUCCUCUCCCUUCUUGAGCUGGGACCACCAUCUCCUCCUGCCCUUAAACACUGAGUUCUUGGUUCUCAGGCCUUCAGAGUCAGUAACAUACACACCCCCAACACCACCUGUCUGGACUCCUUUGGACUCACAUGAAUGAUACAUUGACUUUCCUGGGUCUUACGCUUACUGAUGGCAGAUGGUGGCAUGUCUCAGCCUCCAUGAUCACAUGAGUCGAUUCCUAAAAUCUUCUUCUCUAUGGAUCCUACUGGUUUCAUUUCUCUGGAGAUCCCUUUAACUCCAGGUGAUUCUGAUGUCCAUUAAAGCUUGGGAACAUUAUUGUUAUUGGCAUAGUUGAAGCUGGAUGGACACAGAUGUGGUCCCAGAAGAUGCUAAGAAGGAAGAGAAUUCUGAGGAGUCACAGUAGUGCUACACAGCCCAGGGCUAAGAGGAGCUCUGAGAACUUUCACCUGCAGCUCUCUGGUGAGAUGUCAGCCAUAUGAACAAACCUGCCCCUAAUAGAGGCUGGGAGAUACAGGGCAGCCAUAGCACAAGAUGUGUUUGGUUGGACAACUGGCUCUUUCCAUCCUGUGUGUAAUAUUUGGACAAGCUAAUCAGGUGUAUACUUGCGUUCAGGCAAAGGAAGCACAUUCAGAGAGAAAUUAGCCUCAUUGACACAAAAUUAUGAAGUGAGGGUCCUAAACAUAUCAUGCUUCCCUAAUCUGAGCACUAAAGUCUUAACUCUAGUAUUAAUGUAUACCCAUCAAGGUGUCUAUUUUGCUAUGAUAGUAUCUCCUAGAAAGGUUCUUUAACUUGGUGUCUGUUGGAGACAAGGGAAGAGUUUGCGCAGAAUGACUGAACCCACACACUGCAGUGAAAACGUUCAACGGUUCAAAGGACACUAUAAAGCUCACGUAGUGGGUCUUGCACGGGUCCGCAGGGCCUUCUCCGUGAUGGGCUGGUUUAACAAUAGUGAGUACUUGAUAAAAGUCACUUGUUCUUAUUUUUUAAUGAGAUAUUACUACAAGGGAUAGAGAAAGCAGUUUGUGAAGUAUAGUGAGUAACUGGCUAAAGGACACUACUGAAGAGAUCAUGUUUGAGUUUAAUGUCAGUGUUUUCAUGUCUUUUUGACAGUAAAAAAUAGGAAAGGGUGGAAAGGAAAUUUUUCUUAUUAAUUAGUUUGUGAUAAAUUCUAGCAGGACAAAUAAACAUGGAAGGGUGGAAUGAAUGAAGGCAUAGAUUAAACAGGUUAGGCUAUGAGUGGAGAAUUGUUUUAGCCUGAUAAUAGGUAUAUGAAAGUUGAGUCUACUUUUGUCUGUGUUAGAAAUUUUCCACAAUAAUAGGCUUAAAAUAAAUGAGUACAGGUAAAACCUAGGAGAAAUAACUCUAGCAGAAAAUUUAAAUAUUUGUCAAAUAAUUUUAAAGGUUAAAAAUAUUCAUUAGCCAGUAAUACAGGCAGAGUGUUUUGACAUGUCUCAAUGUCAUUAAUAUCUUUUGCUUUUAAAUAAAGCAAAACGAAAAAACAGAACUCAUCAGCAAAACAAUUUAGAGAUUGAUAGAAAAAACCCAGAUGAUGUAAAAUAGUUUAAAAAUUUGUCAUUAUAAGUUAGUAUAGCAGUAAUUUGUAUUAAAAAAAUCUAUUUACAUGUCUUUUACCCAAAGUAGCAUUUUUUUGCUAAGAAAAUAUAUUUUUGAUUAGUAAAGAAAUUAAACAUGGAGUAUUUACUUCCCCCAGAAAUGCCUCCCAAGCUCAGAUUUUAUAUUCAUUGGAACUAAAAUGACAAUUUCUAAAGCUUGGUUAUUUUUUUCUAAAGAUGUGUAUUUGAUGACCUUUACUCCACUAGAGGGCUCUGUGGAUAAGAGAAAAUACUUAAAAUCAUAGCAUUUAAAGCCAUCUUAAAUGUAUGCCAUUUUACCAAUUAAUCUCUUGCUAAUUCUUAUUUCAUAUUCAGAUGUAACUUAUUGCUUCUGAAACUGAGUAGUAUAAUUAGCAUCUUUAGAUAUUCUUUUUCUAAUUAAUUAAUUGCUGGUAGUUCUUCUGAGAAAGACGUAUACUAUAAUAUAUGGGUCCUUUUUUCUCUUCAUUAGGACUUAGAAUCACCAACACAUAUAGGCAGUACUUAUUUCCGAAUAUAAAAUACUUUGAUGAGCCAAUGAACUACUUGACAAUUCAGAUGUCUGCUCUCUCAUAAUUUAAUACUACUUCAAGAUUACUUUGAAAACUUUAAUAACAGUAUUAUAACAUAAAAGGUAUGGGUUCUUAGAUGGGAUUUAUAUUUGCUCAGGUAUAUUUUCAUAUUUGUGAGAAUAUUUUUGUCUCAUCUAAUUUUAAAUGACAGAGGCAAGGUUUUUACAUAAAUAAUAGCAUGUUCUGGUAUCCAUCCCUGCAUUUUAAGCAAUCAGGAUUUUAAAAAUUUUUCCCUGUGGACGUUACAGGCCCCACAUUGAGGGAAGGGGAGGAUUCAGUAUCCAGUGUUCAUACAAUGUAUUAUCUAGUAGGCCAAGUUUUCCACACAAAAUUAUAAGGAAUGCAAAGAAAUAGAGAAAAAAAAAAAAAAAAAAAAAAAA